UACAGAGGGGGCAAGCGUUGUUCGGAAUUACUGGGCGUAAAGGGCGCGUAGGCGGCCUUCUAAGUCAUGCGUGAAAUCCCCGGGCUCAACCCGGGAACUGCGUCUGAUACUGGAAGGCUUGAAUCCGGGAGAGGGAUGCGGAAUUCCAGGUGUAGCGGUGAAAUGUGUUGAUAUCGGAAGGAACGCCGGUGGCGAAAGCGACACACUGGGUCUCAACUGACGCUGAGGCACGAAAGCCAGGGGAGCGAACGGG
rnacentral:rRNA from 1 species